rnacentral:lncRNA from 1 species
CCGGCCCAAGAUCCAAAACAAAUACUGAACAUAAAAAUAUUUAUAGAGAAUCAUGAGAAAAAAUAAUUGUAAAACAAAAAAAUUUGAGAGAGAAAAUAAAUUAAUUCAAAAGAAAAUAAAAAAUAAAACCAAACAAAGACAUCUUAUAAAAGAGUUUCUACACACUCAAAUAAUCUCUCCUCCUUUUUUCUUCUCCAUGCUCUUCCACACAUUUUGCAUG